rnacentral:pre_miRNA from 1 species
CUGGAGCCAACGUUUCGACAAGUGGACUUGUCUUCGUCCGGGCGGCAACUGACGAAGACAAGUCCACUUGUCGAAACGUUGGCUCCAG